rnacentral:rRNA from 1 species
UACGUAGGGGGCUAGCGUUGUCCGGAAUCAUUGGGCGUAAAGCGCGUGUAGGCGGUCCGGUAAGUCCGCUGUGAAAGUCGGGGGCUCAACCCUCGGAUGCCGGUAGAUACUGUCGGGCUUGAGUACGGAAGAGGCGAGUGGAAUUCCUGGUGUAGCGGUGAAAUGCGCAGAUAUCAGGAGGAACACCGAUUGCGAAGGCAGCUCGCUGGGACGUUACUGACGCUGAGACGCGAAAGCGUGGGGAGCAAACAGG